rnacentral:ncRNA from 4 species
UUUUUUUUUUUUUUUUUUUUUUUUUUUUUUUUUUUU